rnacentral:tRNA from 1 species
GGGAAUGUGGCUUAGUGGUAAGGUACUUGCCUAGCAUGCAUGAAGCCCUGGGUUCAAUUCCUCAGUACCA